GUCAGUUCCUAUUUAUAUACUUUUCCUUAUAAUAGCCAACGCAAAGAUGAUAGCCUUUUGAUAUACAUACAUAAUCCCAUUUUCUUAUUUGUCUUUCCUUUCUUUUUGUGCCUCUCCUCUCUCUCUCUUGAACCUUACGAUUUGCUCGAGGGAGGCCCUUUCUUCCCUUCAAAGAUUCUUCUCUGCUAUUUUCUUGGCUGCUUGGUGAAACAUCUUUCCCAUACAGCAUUGAAAGUAAAACAAUAGGGAAUGCUGAAAGAUGUGCUUGAAUGCUGGUAAUUCUUUCUGUGGUAUCUGUGAAGUCCAGUUGCAAUUUCAGCUGCUUUCAUUAUCCACCCUUUGUGAGGUUGGAUACUCAGCACAUGACAGAUUUGAGCUUGAAGUCCGAAUGGAUAAGGGUUUCAAAAAGCACAAUCUUGUUGAGGACGGCUGAAUUAUUGAGUUCUUAAGACUGCCCUGUACAGUUUUGAAGCAGGAGUGCAUAUUUUAGUAAAUUCUAUUAGGAUUUGAUAUUGACAAUGGAGCAUAAAAGGAAUGUGUUGAUGCAGAGGUAUGAUUUUGGAAGAUUAUUAGGCCAAGGAAACUUUGCCAAGGUUUACUACGCAAGGAACAUUAAAACUGGUCAGAGCGUGGCUGUUAAGAUCAUUGACAAGGAGAAGAUUCUGAAGGUGGGGCUGAUUAAUCAGAUCAAGAGAGAGAUAUCUGUUAUGAAACUGGUUAAACAUCCAAAUGUGUUGCAGCUUUAUGAGGUCAUGGCCUCCAAAGCCAAGAUUUACUUUGUGAUAGAAUAUGCUAAAGGUGGUGAGCUCUUUAAGAAGGUAGCAAAAGGAAGGCUCAAGGAAGAUGCUGCAAGGAACUAUUUUCAACAGUUAAUCAGUGCAGUUGAUUUUUGUCACAGCAGAGGUGUUUAUCACAGGGAUCUGAAACCAGAAAACUUAUUAUUGGAUGAAAAUGGAAUUCUGAAGGUCUCAGAUUUUGGGUUGAGUGCACUUGUUGAGUCCAAUUCUCAGGAUGGUUUGCUCCACACAACUUGCGGAACUCCUGCAUAUGUUGCUCCGGAGGUUAUCAGCCGAAAAGGCUAUGAUGGAGCGAAAGCUGACAUUUGGUCAUGCGGGGUAAUCUUGUAUGUUUUGCUGGCUGGUUUUCUCCCAUUCCAUGAUGCAAAUCUAAUUUUGCUGUAUAGGAAAAUUAGCAAGGCGGAAUAUAAAUUCCCUAACUGGUUUUCGCCUGAAGUGCGCAAGCUUUUGUCAAAAAUACUGGAUCCUAACCCAACAACUAGAAUUUCCAUUGCAAAAAUAAUGGAGAAUUCGUGGUUUAGAAAAGGAUUCACUGCUAAAGUUUUCCCAGCUAGAAAUGAUGUUCAGAAAUUCGACUCUUUGGUGACUGAUACAACUUUUUUGGUCCCUUAUGAGAAUCAUACCACCACUGCUGAAAAUAAGAAAGAGUUGGGCAAGCCUACCAGUUUGAAUGCUUUCGAUAUCAUCUCUCUUUCAAGUGGGUUUAAUCUGUCUGGUUUCUUUUCCAGAAAUUACCAAGAGAAAGAAACAACAUUCACAUCAGUACACUCUGCCACAACCAUCAUAUCUAAAAUAGAGGACACUGCUAGGGAUCUGAGGCUGGAAGUAAAGAAGAAACAUGGAGGGCUGUUGAAAUUGGAGGGGUCCAAGGGAGGUAGAAAAGGUGCAUUGUCUAUUGAUGCAGAAAUAUUUGAGUUUACUCCAUCUUUUCAUUUGGUAGAAGUGAAAAAAUCAGGUGGUGAUACACUGGAAUACCUGCAUAUAUUGGAAGAGGGUCUGAGACCAGCUCUUAAGGACAUCGUCUGGGUGUGGCAAGGCGAGCAGCAGCAGCAACAACAACAAGAACAACAAGAGCAACUCGUGCAAUCUUCCUAGUCAUAUUUUCUUAUGGAAAUCACAUAGCUUAAGAGGAUAAUCGGUCAGAAAAAAGCAAGGGAUGUUUAUUUUAGGUGGCUAAACUUUGAACAUAAACCUGAGUCUGGGUUCUGGAGUCAUUUCCUUCACUGAGAGUUAUGGCCAUGCACUUGGAUUAAUUAUUCCGAAGGCAAGGGCCAUCCGUACUAUGAAUUUGCUUGGAAACGGCAUGAUCUUGAUUUGUCAGGCAAUAUCAGUGAGGAGUAGAUUUCUCCAAUACUGGGCCUUGAACGCAUAGCUGAUCUUGAAAAACUCAAGGAUAAAGAAAAGAGAAAGCAAGAAAAGGAUAAGGUAUCAUGGUGGCAUUGCUCAUAAUUGGAAAGCAAUAGUGGUAAGUGUGUCUGUGAUAGCUAGUGGCAAAAUGGUGGCAGCAGUAGCAGCAGCAGUAGAUGUAAUGCUAAUUAAUAGCUGAGAGAUGUGCUUUGUGUAGUUCCAAGCUCAUCAGGAGUUUGAACCUGUAACCACACAGCUCUCAGGAUAAUUUCAGCAUCAUAAGAAUGUACUUGCAGUAUAAAUUUUCUUUUUUCCUUCCCAAGAAGAAGGGAUUUUCUAUCCUUA